UGUUCUGUGGCUUCGUUGGUUAAAGCGUCACACUAGCGAUACGUAGCCGUAGUUUCAAACCCUACCAAAACAA
rnacentral:tRNA from 1 species